UACGUAGGCAGCGAGCGUUGUUCGGAGUUACUGGGCGUAAAGGGUGUGUAGGCGGUUCUUUAAGUUUGGUGUGAAAUCUCCCCGCUCAACCGGGAGGGUGCGCCGAAUACUGAGGGACUAGAGUACGGGAGAGGAAAGUGGAAUUCCUGGUGUAGCGGUGAAAUGCGUAGAUAUCUGGAGGAACACCGGUGGCGAAGGCGGCAUCCUGGACCAACACUGACGCUGAGGAGCGAAAGCCAGGGGGAGCAAACGGG
rnacentral:rRNA from 1 species